rfam:Gossypium arboreum cultivar AKA8401 contig_58657_3, whole genome shotgun sequence.
AAGCCAUGGUGAGGGCACCUUCUCAAUAAAUCCUUAUAUCUCUCCCAUCUAUCAUAAAGUGUUUCUAAAUCCAUCUACACAAAAGAAGAGAUAUCAUUCCUUGACUU